rnacentral:lncRNA from 1 species
CGCGCACUCCCGGGCUGGAGUUCGGCGAGGCCUUGGGACUGGCGCUGGAGCCCAGCGUGGGAUGACCGUGCCCCGAAAACAUGCCAGUGAAUGGAAAGAAGCCAAGGUCCCCUCCCUCCCUGCUUAUACCCUCAACUUUGCCAAUGAGGACCCUAAAUACCAGCUGCACUACAGGGGAUGUAACUACAUACACCGUCACCAAAGUUGCAGCCUGGCCAAGAAAUGCCAGGGGACGUCGCGGCGAUUGCAGACUCCGCGGUGACUGUGUAGAUACGUCCAGAAUUCGCCCUUGUAGCGCGGGGAGAGGCGAGAGUGAAGGCCUAGAAAAAAAGAAGAAUAAAUGGGACAUUACACAAGAGACCACCCAUUGAAUUACUGUUCUGAAGUCAUCCCUCAACCACCUGGAGUAGACCAAAGGCAACAGAAACCAAGAGGAGAAAGUUUGAGCCUUGCCAUAUCAAUAUUGGGUACUGAACGAGGAAAAAACUCAAGAUAAUUACUAACAACCUGGGACUCCUGGGGAAAAACAGAGAUGGCACCACAGACCCCAUUCUGGGAAAAACUUCUUUUCCUCAUGGAACCCCAGGAAUUGAAAACAAUAAAU